rnacentral:rRNA from 1 species
GGGUCAGUAGGUUGGUCGUGCCACCGGUACGUACUGGUCUCACUGAUUCCUCCUUCCUGAAGAACCGUAAUGCCAUUAAUCUGGUGUUGCGGGGAAACAGGACUGUUACUUUGAAAAAAUUAGGAUGUUUAAAGCAAGCUAACGCUCGAAUACAUUAGCAUGGAAUAAUGAAAUAGGACGAUCGAUCCUAUUUUGUUGGUUUCUAGGAUUGACGUA